GGAUAGCUGGAGCCCAUUACGAGGUCUAUCAGGUAAAGCCAAUGAUUAGAGGCAUUGGGGACGCAACGUCGUGGACCUAUUCUCAAACUUUAAAUAGGUAGGAUGGCUCGGCUGCUUCGGUGAGCCGUGCCACGGAAUCGGGUGCUCCAAGUGGGCCAUUUUUGGUAAGCAGAACUGGCGAUGCGGGAUGAACCGGAAGCCGGGUUACG
rnacentral:ncRNA from 1 species